rnacentral:rRNA from 1 species
GACGAACCGUGCGAACGUUAUUCGGAAUCACUGGGCUUAAAGCGCGUGUAGGCGGCCCGGUACGUCCGUCGCUGAAAUCCCCCGGCUCAACCGGGGAAGGGGCGCGGAUACGGCCGGGCUGGAGGGGGGUAGGGGGCGCCGGAACUCACGGUGGAGCGGUGAAAUGCGUUGAGAUCGUGAGGAACGCCCGUGGCGAAAGCGGGCGCCUGGACCCCGCCUGACGCUGAGACGCGAAAGCCAGGGGAGCGAACGGG